UACGUAGGGUGCGAGCGUUAAUCGGAAUUACUGGGCGUAAAGUGUGCGCAGGCGGCAGAGCAAGUCGAGUGUGAAAGCCCCGGGCUUAACUUGGGAAUUGCGCUCGAAACUACUUUGCUGGAGUGUGGCAGAGGAAGGUGGAAUUCCACGUGUAGCGGUGAAAUGCGUAGAGAUGUGGAGGAGCACCAAUGGCGAAGGCAGCCUUCUGGGCCAACACUGACGCUCAUGCACGAAAGCGUGGGGAGCAAACAGG
rnacentral:rRNA from 1 species